UCGACAACAAAAGCACACCAAGGGGAU
rnacentral:misc_RNA from 1 species